rnacentral:hammerhead_ribozyme from 1 species
AUACAGACGACGAGUCCGAAAUAGGAGGAAACGCGCAUCCUGUAU